UGGGGAAUAUUGCACAAUGGGCGAAAGCCUGAUGCAGCAACGCCGCGUGAGUGAUGAAGGUCUUCGGAUUGUAAAGCUCUGUCUUUUGGGACGAUAAUGACGGUACCAAAGGAGGAAGCCACGGCUAACUACGUGCCAGCAGCCGCGGUAAUACGUAGGUGGCGAGCGUUGUCCGGAUUUACUGGGCGUAAAGGGUGCGUAGGCGGAUGUUUAAGUGAGAUGUGAAAUACCCGGGCUUAACUUGGGUGCUGCAUCUCAAACUGGAUAUCUAGAGUGCAGGAGAGGAGAAUGGAAUUCCUAGUGUAGCGGUGAAAUGCGUAGAGAUUAGGAAGAACACCAGUGGCGAAGGCGAUUCUCUGGACUGUAACUGACGCUGAGGCACGAAAGCGUGGGUAGCAAACAGGAUUAGAUACCCUGGUAGUCCACGCCGUAAACGAUGAGUACUAGGUGUAGGAGGUAUCGACCCCUUCUGUGCCGCAGUAAACACAUUAAGUACUCCGCCUGGGAAGUACGAUCGCAAGAUUAAAACUCUAAAGUGAAUUGAC
rnacentral:rRNA from 1 species